CGCGGGACGGCAAAACCAUCCAAUGGGAAGAGGCGAUUCGCGGAGAUUGGCACUGAAGAUGGGAAGAUGGAGUUUUGCUCCUGUUGCCCAGGCUGGAGUGCAAUGGCACGAUCUCGGCUCACCGCAACCUCCGCCUCCCAGGUUCAAGCGAUUCUCCUGCUUCAGCCUCCCUAGUAGCUGGGAUUGCAGGGACAGCAGACAGCAGCUUGUGGUUGGUCAGGAGAUGCUGGAAGACUGGAGGAGAGCUCCUGAUGGGGCAGCGAUGAGCAGAGGCUUGUGGACUGGACCUGUGUGGUUUCGUAUGUAGGAGGAGCGGGCAAAGGAGGGCAGGCUCAAAGCCCGACCUAGAAGCUGUUUAAUCUGGAGUUGGCCCAGCUGGAUGUAGAAUCCAAAAGAAGGGAAGGUUUGGUAAAACUAGGGUCAGCGAACUGUCACCUGCAGGCCAAAUCCAGCCUGCCUCUCAUUUUUAUGUGACUUUUACACUAAGCAUGGUUUUUACCUUUUUAUAUGAUUGGAGAAAAGAAGCAAAAGAAGAAUAGUAUUUUGUGGCACAUAAAAAUUUUAGGAAAUUCAAAUGUCAGUGUCCAUCAAUAAAGCUUUAUUGGAACACAGUCCUGCCCAUUCACUUAUGACUAUGGCUACUUUCAUGUUACAACAGCAGAGUUGAGCAGUUGGCUACAGAGACCAUAUGGCCCGUAAAGCCUGAAAUAUUUACUGUCUGGCUCUUUACAGAAAAAAUUUACCAACCCCCAAGUUAUACUAUUAGCCUGAGCUUUGACCCAAGCCCAUCAGAACACCUUCCCUGUUCAGUGUUGCGUGACCUCUGCAAACCCCACCAGGUCCCAUCCUAGGAGCGGGAGGGAGAGAACAGGUUAAUUAGAUGGGUUAAUUUGAAGAACUGUUCUUUCAAGAGGUGAGAAGGGAUGAGAUGAGAGAGUGCAAUGCAGUUAAGACCACGGGCUGUGAUUCAAAUGUUGGUUUCACCACUUACAGCAGUGGGACUUUGAGCUAGUGUCUUAACCUCUCUGAGCAGCAGUUUCCAUAUAAUAAAAUGUGAAUAAUUAUAUGGUCAAAAAUAUAGUGUCGUUGUGAGGAGCAAAUGAGCUACUGCAUGCAACAAUGUCUGGCAUAUGGUAGACACUCAAUGCAUAUUCACUACUAUUAAUUACUAUGAUUAGAUGGAGUACAGCAGUGGAAGAGUUGGCCUGGGAGAGGAAGAAGCUAUCUUUGUUCGAGCAGCAUGUGGAGUAGAGUAAAAACAAUAGGCAUUCGAGAUAAACAGACCUGGGAUCAAUUCCCUUUGUUAGUGAUGCUGUGUGACUUUAGUGAAGUUCAUUAACUUCUGAGCCUCAGUUUUCCCCUCUCUACAGAACUCAGAUGUCAACGGGUGGGGGUGGGGGGCCUUCCUGCUCUUGAAUUUAGGAAAUGUACUUCCUUUACAGGUCUGCCUGUCACCAUCUCAGGUGAAACACACGUGGCUUUGUUUCACCCUAUGCCAGAAAGCACAUUCAACAAUUUUCUUUCAGUAUUUCAUGAGCUUAGUAAAUUUACUUGAGAUUUUAAGAGAGAUGCUUUUGAGGGUAGGGGCAUAUUGUGCCACCCAAAGCCUUUCUCUAAAGCUCCUGCUCUUUUCUUGCCUCUGCCCCUCCCCUCUUCUUUCUGAGUGAGGAGCCCACUGUCCCCUCACCCUGCCCAUUCCACACACAUUUCCUCAUCUCUCUCCCCUCCCUCCACACUGUCCAAAGAGGCUGAUAAAGGCAUUUUCCCAUGAAGAUGAUUCUCUCCCCAAGACAAAUUCUUUUUUUUUUUUUUUUUGAGACAGAGCCUUGCUCUGCUUGCUCUGUCUCCAGGCUGGAGUGUGGACUGCAAUUUCUACCUCCUGGCCUCCGUUACCCCUCAUGGCUCAGCCACUCUGAGGCUGGGAUUACAGGCAAGUACCUCACCUCACACCGGGCUAAUUUUUUGUAUUUUUUUUUUUUUUGAGAUCGGAGUCUCGGCUUGUCAGCCUAGGCGUGUAGGCUGGAUCUCUCAGUCACUGCAGUUCACCCCGGG
rnacentral:lncRNA from 1 species